AGGAUACGGUUAACGGAGCGAAAGCGACGUUCAACCGCAAAACAAGCAGAGGGGGCUUAGUGGUGGGGUGACUGCGUACCUUUUGUAUAAUGGGUCAGCGACUUAUAUUCUGUAGCAAGGUUAACCGAAUAGGGGAGCCGGAGGGAAACCGAGUCUUAAUUGGGCGUUAAGUUGCAGGGUAUAGACCCGAAACCCGGUGAUCUAGCCAUGGGCAGGUUGAAGGUUGGGUAACACUAACUGGAGGACCGAACCGACUAAUGUUGAAAAAUUAGCGGAUGACCUGUGGCU
rnacentral:rRNA from 1 species